AGACGUGUGCUCUUCCGAUCUGUUUCCCAGUCACGAUAUUUACAGGCGAUGAAGGACGUGAUAGACUGCGAAAAGCUAUGGGGAGUUGUCAAAUAAGCAUUGAUCCAUAGAUGUCCGAAUGGGGAAACCCAACUCGUAAGAGUUACUCCAAUGGAGGGCGAACGUUGCGAACUGAAACAUCUAAGUAGCAACAGGAAAAGAAAUCAACCGAGAUUCCGAAAGUAGUGGCGAGCGAAAUCGGACCAGCCGUUAACCGUUAUUAUACUGUAGACAGCAGAAUCAUCUGGAAAGUUGAGCCAUAGCGGGUGACAGCCCCGUAUGCGAAAUCCAGUAUAAAGAACUAAGGUUAAGAGAAGUAGGGCGGGACACGAGAAAUCCUGUCUGAAGAUGGGGGGACCAUCCUCCAAGGCUAAAUACUCGUAAUCGACCGAUAGUGAACCAGUACCGUGAGGGAAAGGCGAAAAGAACCCCGGGAGGGGAGUGAAAUAGAACCUGAAACUGCAUGCAUACAAACAGUGGGAGCCGGGCAACCGGUGACUGCGUACCUUUUGUAUAAUGGGUCAGCGACUUACGUUUUGUUGCAAGCUUAACCGAAUAGGGGAGGCGUAGGGAAACCGAGUCUGAACAGGGCGAUUAGUAGCAAGACGUAGACCCGAAACCAGAUGAUCUAUUCAUGGCCAGGUUGAAGGUGCAGUAACAUGCACUGGAGGACCGAACCGACUAAUGUUGCAAAAUUAGCGGAUGAGCUGUGGAUAGGGGUGAAAGGCUAAACAAAUCUGGAGAUAGCUGGUUCUCCUCGAAAACUAUUUAGGUAGUGCCUCGUGUGGACACUUCUUGGGGUAGAGCACUGUUAUGGCUAGGGGGUUAUUGCAACUUACCAAACCAUGGCAAACUCCGAAUACGAGAAAGUAAUACACGGGAGACAGACGCCGGGUGCUAACGUCCGGUGUCGAGAGGGAAACAACCCAGAUCGCCAGCUAAGGUCCCAAAUAAUCAAUUAAGUGGAAAACGAUGUGGGAAGGCAUAGACAGCUAGGAUGUUGGCUUAGAAGCAGCCAUCAUUUAAAGAAAGCGUAAUAGCUCACUAGUCGAGUCGUCCUGCGCGGAAGAUGUAACGGGGCUAAAUUGAUAACCGAAGCUGCGAGUGUGGAUUUUAUCCACACGGUAGAGGAGCGUUCUGUAGGCCUGCGAAGGUGUAUCGUAAGGUAUGCUGGAGGUAUCAGAAGUGCGAAUGCUGACAUGAGUAGCGUUAAAAUAGGUGAAAAACCUAUUCGCCGAAAGUCCAAGGUUUCCUACGCAACGUUAAUCGGCGUAGGGUAAGUCGGCCCCUAAGGUGAGGCAGAAAUGCGUAGCUAAUGGGAAGUGGGUUAAUAUUCCUACACCGAUGUUUGUAAGUGAUGGGGGGACGUAGAAGGUUAAAUCAGCCAUCUGUUGGCAUAGGUGGUUUAAGCGUGCGAGCUGACUCUUAGGCAAAUCCGAGAGUCAUAAGGCCCAGGCGUGAUGACGACGAUUCUGUUUAUACAGAAUUAAAGUGAUUGAUACCAUGCUACCAGGAAAAGCCUCUAAGCGUUUUAAAGCAAACAUUGACCGUACCGCAAACCGACACUGGUGGACAGGAUGAAUAUUCUAAGGCGCUUGAGAGAACUCUGGAGAAGGAACUCGGCAAAUUGACACCGUAACUUCGGGAGAAGGUGUGCCCUAAUAAUGUGUAAGUCUUUACGACUGAAGCAAUACAGGGUUGCAAAAAAUCGGUGGCUGCAACUGUUUAUUAAAAACACAGCACUCUGCAAACACGCAAGUGGAAGUAUAGGGUGUGACGCCUGCCCGGUGCUGGAAGAUUAAAUGAUGGGGUGCAAGCUCUUGAUUGAAGUCCCAGUAAACGGCGGCCGUAACUAUAACGGUUCUAAGGUAGCGAAAUUCCUUGUCGGGUAAGUUCCGACCCGCACGAAUGGCGUAAUGAUGGCCACACUGUCUCCUCCAGAGACUCAGCGAAGUUGAAAUGGUUGUGAAGAUGCAAUCUACCCGCGGUUAGAUCGUCAACUUAUAUUCAUUACCCUUACGCUAAUACUGCUACUAUAUUGGAUCCAAUAUUAUUUGGACUUUUUGAUUAUAAUUAUUUCAGUAAUCGGGACGUAGAAAACUACGGUCUUAAUGUUAGAGCACAUAGAACCUCAGGAAGUACUACUUUUAUUAAAGCUAGUUUUGGUGAGUCAGUCAGUUCUUUUUCGCAAGCACUAACUUCAAAUACUCAAUGUCUUAGUCUUAACACCUGGCACCAUGUAGCCCUACAAAGAUCCAACAAUACAUCUAAGGUUUUUGUAGAUGGAGUUCCUGUAAUAACCAAAACGAAUGAUAUAUCUGUUUAUACUUUUAGCGGUUACAACCCUAUUAAUUUUGGCGGGUACCCUUACAUGUACGGAAGUUCCGGUGAAAAUUUUUGUAAUUCUAUGGUUCUUAUAGAUGAAAUAAGAGGUGUAUUUGGCGCUACCGUAUAUGACCCUGAAGGAUUUUCUCCACCUACAUCAUCCUUAACUACAUCAACAUUUACAGUCUCUUCCUUUUAUCUUAACCAUACCAUACAAAAAGAUAUAAAAGAAACAGAAAAUGAUUAUUAUAAAGUUUUUACUCUACCUAACAACAGUAUUCCUUAUGUAAGGGAAAUACCUUCUAUACAAACUUUAGUAAGUACUGCUUCUACCAUAUCAGUUAGUCCUUCUGCAACUUUUAUGAUACCCAGUUCAGGGAGACUUUUAUUAGGA
rnacentral:rRNA from 1 species